GGACGAGUUCCGCAGACGCACAAUAUGGAGCCUAGCUUCCUCCUCACCUGUUACCUGAGGGAGAAGAGGGACGAAACUUGAAAAGCAAACGGAAAGCGAGGAAGCAGAAAACUCAUUCUGCUAUUCCUGUUCUAAUGCCAUCACUCCUUCAACGUUCUUAUGUGGUCUCCACAUUUCCUUCCAGAAGACACAUUCCACAAUGCUUUACAUAAUAGAGUUUCAUUCACCAUUUGUGUCUGGGAUGGAAUCCAGGUCUUCAUAUAAGCUGGGGCCUGGUGAGACCCUUCCAGAGCCUGGAUUCCAGGGAUUCCUGGGAACAACAGAUCACAGAGGGCUACUGACAUGCAGAAGGUUGAGGCCAGGAUUGCUGCUCAGCAUCCCACAGUGCUCCACACAAAUCCCAUAACAUGGAAUAUCCAGCAGAACUGGCUCUCAUCAUGGUUGAUAACCCAGGAUAACAAAGGGUCCCUAUAUCCUGAGGACUACAACACGGAUAAAUGCUACCCUUUGGUCUGAUGUUUGUGUCUGCUUCUUAUGGGAACAGAAUUACUUUUACAAUGGUAGUUGCAGAAGAAAUAAUAUGAUGUUUGAAUAGGUUGACAAUGAAAUUAACGAGGAUUACAUCUCAA